GACCGCACCGCAUGUGGUCACAUGUAUAUAGAAAGGUGUAAACAAGGUAAGAUAGAGCUAGUGCUCUCUCUGUCUCUCUCUCGGGGUUGAACCAGCAUUGGAAAGCUGCUGGGACUCUACCACUAGAAGUGACAACCUGGUUAUGGAUUUUUGUGUGAGUAUAACUCCCAAAUAAAUUACCAGUUAAUAAGCAGUCUCUGAAUCCAUUUGGAUUCAACAAUAGCCUUUAGAAUAUAUCUGUAAGCAACACUGCCUGGUUGCCUUGGUAUUAUUUAGGUCUUCCAUGAUGAUAAAUCCAGUCAACUGUCAGAUAGUACUUCUGUGUGGACAUACUAAUUUUUUUGAUUUUUUAAAUUUAAAUUAUAAACAAGCUUGAUAAAUGUCAAUCCCAGUUCCCUCUCUGUCCCAUCCUCUCAUGAUCCCCACCCCCUAUCCCAUGCCAUUUCUCCUCCCCAGUGAGGUUGGGAACUUCCAUGGGGGAACUUCAAAGUCUGUUAUAUCAUUUGGAGCAGGUUCUAGGCUCUCCCUGGUGUGUCUAGUUGAAAGAGUAUCCCUCUAUGUGGAAUGGGCUCUCAAAGUCCAUUCCUAUAACAUGAAUAAAUACUGAUCCACUCCCAGAGACCCCAUAGAUUGUCCAGGAUUCGUAACUGACAGAUGUGUUCAAGUCUGGAUAAGUUCUUUGCUAGUUUCCCAGCUAUCAGUCUGGGGUCCAUGAGCUCCCCUUUGUUCAGCUCAUCUGUUUCUCUGGGUUUCUGCAGUGCGGUCAUGACCCCUAUAUUAUCCCUCCUCGCUCUCUGCAAGUGGAUUCCAGGAAUAUAGCUCAGUGUUUAGCUGUGGAUGUUUCCUUCUGCUUGAAUCAGCUACUGGAGAAAGGCUCUAGGAUGACCUGUAAGAUAGACAUCAAUUCUCAUUACAAGGAAGCACAUUUAAGACAGCAUCUCCACUAUUGCUUAAAUUGUUAGUUGGGGUAGGUGGAUGUACUUAUUAUAUAUUGUAUAAAUGCACAUAUCUAUAACUAUGUAUAUGAAUAUCCAAAUAUAUUUACAACUCAUUAGACAAAAGAUGAAUUCUAAAUUUUUUAUUAUAGGAACAAAUCAAGCACCAAAUUAAUUUUUCCAUAUUUUAAAUUUUAGUAACCUUCCACAGCACUUGUGUGAAAUUUGGAUACAUUAACUCAAUCAUGUAUGAGGAAAAUAUGUUCAAAGCAGUAAAUAUAUCACACUUAUGAGCCCAAGGAAAGAUGUUCAAUAUGUACUUUAAGUUAUACCAUAUGUAGUUAUCAUUUUGAGUAUUAAUUUAUAAAGUUAAUGUUCACUUCACAUGCUUAUUUUCACUACUUCAUUCUGUUAUACUCCCCAUAUGAUUGUAGCUAUCUAAACACACACAAGGUGACACCAAGACAGAGAAACUUCAUUUGAUUGUGUUCUUGGGGUCACCAAAACAACUCGUUUUUGAAAAAUUAUGCUCACCUUUGAACAAAAUAAAAGGAAAAUUUCUUCAACAACAUUUGAUGGGUUUUGACCCCAAUUAUAGGAAAAGAAAAGGUUGAUUAUGUAGAAAUUCUUUGCCAUUGAUUUGUUAUUAACAGAAAAACAGUGUGCACAAGCUGCAAAACUCAAUGAAAGUUUGCAUAUGACAUUUAGAAACUAACUAUUGGGCCCAACACUGUUUCUCAGGAACAGAUUGCUGACCACGUGAUCUGUGAAAACAAGGCCUCUCAAACAUCCCAGAACACAGACAAAGCAACUAAGUAAUUAUUCCCUGAACAACAUGUAGGCAGAAAAUAGUGUUCAGUUUGAUCCUGUCACACUCCACUCCUAAAUGAACACACACAGGCAUAUAUUAAGUAUAAACUAUUUGUACUUAGGCAAAAUCAUCUUAUUUGCUCACUCUCUAUAAAUCCUAACCCAUUUCUUUUCAUCAGUGAAUCUCCAGGUGGUUUAGCAUAACAGAGGAAAACAGAGCAACCUAAAUUCCCUGAAGUUACAUGGCGACUCUCAGGAGACUCACUCUCCAUAUACCUCUCCCAGAAUUCAACUCUGGCUUCAUUCCCUAUAUGUCCUCAAUGGCUACAUAUUGUCUGACUAUGGGCCAAAAUAGCUUCAUUCAUAAACCAAUAAGAGAAACAUAUAUCCACAGCAUAUAGAAAAGCAUCUGCUUCAGGUUCUAUUUCCUACUGGAGAAAAUAAGGAUUUUUUUUUUAAAAAAAAUUCACAUUGGCCAAUUAUGUAUUUCAAAGUUGAUGAGCAAAAAUUAUGGAUAUCAUUAUGUAGUACAUUAACAUUUGCCAAAUUUUAAGAAAAUAUUCCAUGGUCUGCCCUUGCUUUGUUAGGUUAAAGAAUCAAAUGCAAGUUACAUUUAUCAUAAUUAAGAAAAUCCAUAAUGGUAAUUAUCAGUCCUCAAAAGCAACAAAGAUUCCAGAAGGAUUCUAUAUAAAACAAUAAAUUAGGAGAGACAUCUCUCUUCCAUGAAAGUCACCCAACUUUUGGCGGCACCCUAAGCCCAUCCAUCUUCAGCCAGUAUGGCCAGAACAUGUAGCAGAAUUUUGGAGGAAGAAUAUAAGAAGGAUCAUCCUUUCCCUUGGCGUCUUCAGCAGUCCGUCUUCUUUGGAACCUGUUUGUCUAGUUUGGACACCAUGCUGUCAAGCAGUCAAGGGAAGAGAGGAUUCUCCUCCAAAUAGCAAGUUCUGCCCUGUGAAAGGCAAACUCCAUAACCAGAUUCUUUAAUGACCAUCUUAAUCUCUAAUGUGAUCUGUUGACUUCACAAGAUGAUUAUAGCUAUACAUAACCAAUUCCUAUCAAAUCAUGUUAACGUGUCUAUAAGGAUUUUAUCAAGAAAAAGUAUAGAAAAGAGAAACAAAUAUAGCUACCACUGGAAGCUUUUGUAAGUAAUAAGGAAAAAAUCUGUUAAAAAUAAAACAACAAGUACAAGAACCAAAGAAGAAAAAAUUGUAAAACAACUACCAAUGAGGAUUUCACUAAAAGCUACAGGUACAGGGGACAGGAUGGAGCUUACUCAGCAUGCUCAGCUACCUCGAUCUAUCUGUAAAUCUCCUCUUUUGUGGCAAAAGGACUGGUUUGCCACUCUAUGUAUAUAGUUACACUAUAAUCAAAGAAGGCCAUAAUAAAUAUUUUUGAAAGACCAACAUAGGUUACAUGAAUAUGUCACAGAAGGGAAUAUUUACAUUUAUAAAAGAUGAAAUAGCCAUUAUUUGGGUCAGGAUAAUUAUCAAUGAAGAAAUUACGGGAUAUAAUCCAGGAGAUUCCACCCCGUCAUUCUGAUUGUUUUCCAAGAAAAAAUUCUCUUUGGCUUAACUAAAGUCAUCUA
rnacentral:lncRNA from 1 species